rnacentral:rRNA from 1 species
GAUGAACGCUGGCGGCGUGCCUAAUACAUGCAAGUCGAGCGAACAGACGAGGAGCUUGCUCCUUUGACGUUAGCGGCGGACGGGUGAGUAACACGUGGGUAACCUACCUAUAAGACUGGGAUAACUUCGGGAAACCGGAGCUAAUACCGGAUAAUAUUUCGAACCGCAUGGUUCGAUAGUGAAAGAUGGCUCUGCUAUCACUUAUAGAUGGACCUGCGCCGUAUUAGCUAGUUGGUAAGGUAACGGCUUACCAAGGCAACGAUACGUAGCCGACCUGAGAGGGUGAUCGGCCACACUGGAACUGGGACACGGUCCAGACUCCUACGGGAGGCAGCAGUAGGGAAUCUUCCGCAAUGGGCGAAAGCCUGACGGAGCAACGCCGCGUGAGUGAUGAAGGUCUUCGGAUCGUAAAACUCUGUUAUUAGGGAAGAACAAACGUGUAAGUAACUGUGCACGUCUUGACGGUACCUAAUCAGAAAGCCACGGCUAACUACGUG